CCGUAACUAUAACGGUCCUAAGGUAGCGAAAUUCCUUGUCAGGUAAGUUCUGACCUGCACGAAUGGUGUAACCAUGGCCACGCUGUCUCCACCUGAGACCCAGUGAAAUCGAAAUCGCUGUGAAGAUGCAGUGUACCCGCGGCUAGACGGAAAGACCCCGUGAACCUUUACUGCAGCUUGACACUGAACUUUGAACAUGUUUGUGCAGGAUAGGCGGGAGACAUCGAAGCAAGAGCGCCAGCUCAUGUGGAGUCGUCCUUGAAAUACCGCCCUGACCUGUUUGAAGUUCUAACUCGACAAAGACCUUGAAGAGGACAGUGUCUGGUGGGCAGUUUGACUGGGGCGGUCUCCUCCUAAAGGGUAACGGAGGAGCACGAAGGUCAGCUGAUUACGGUCGGACAUCGUAAGGUCAGUGCAAUGGCAUAAGCUGGCUUGACUGCGAGAGCAACAACUCGAGCAGGUGCGAAAGCAGGUCAUAGUGAUCCGGUGGUUCUGUAUGGAAAGGCCAUCGCUCAACGGAUAAAAGGUACUCUGGGGAUAACAGGCUGAUACCGCCCAAGAGUUCAUAUCGACGGCGGUGUUUGGCACCUCGAUGUCGGCUCAUCACAUCCUGGGGCUGAAGUUGGUCCCAAGGGUAUGGCUGUUCGCCAUUUAAAGUGGUACGCGAGCUGGGUUCAAAACGUCGUGAGACAGUUUGGUCCCUAUCUACCGCGGGCGUGGGAUAAUUGAGAGGGAUUGCUCCUAGUACGAGAGGACCGGAGUGAACGAACCGCUGGUUUACGGGUUGUCAUGCCAAUGGCACCGCCCGGCAGCCAAGUUCGGAACUGAUAACCGCUGAAAGCAUCUAAGUGGGAAGCAGGCCUCAAGAUGAGUUAUCCGAGUUAAAUCAUAAGGGCCGUUGAAGACUACGACGUUGAUAGGUUGGAUGUGGAAGCGCAGUGAUGCGUGAAGCUAGCCAAUACUAAUGACCCGAAAGCUUGACCAU
rnacentral:rRNA from 1 species